rnacentral:rRNA from 1 species
AACGAACGCUGGCGGCAUGCCUAACACAUGCAAGUCGAACGAGACCUUCGGGUCUAGUGGCGCACGGGUGCGUAACGCGUGGGAACCUGCCCUUAGGUUCGGAAUAACUCCCCGAAAGGGGUGCUAAUACCGGAUAAUGUCUUCGGACCAAAGAUUUAUCGCCUUUGGAUGGGCCCGCGUUGGAUUAGCUAGUUGGUAGGGUAAAAGCCUACCAAGGCGACGAUCCAUAGCUGGUCUGGGAGGAGGAUAAGCCACGAUGGGACUGAGACACGGCCCAGACUCCUACGGGAGGGAGGAGUGGGGAAUAUUGGACAAUGGGCGAAAGCCUGAUCCAGCAAUGCCGCGUGAGUGAUGAAGGCCUUAGGGUUGUAAAGCUCUUUUACCCGGGAUGAUAAUGACAGUACCGGGAGAAUAAGCUCCGGCUAACUCCGUG